AACGUAGGACGCAAGCGUUAUCCGGAGUUACUGGGCGUAAAGCGCGGGCAGGCGGCUCGAUGCGUCUGAUGUGAAAUCUCCUCGCUCAACGGGGAGAGGCCAUUGGAAACGGACGAGCUGGAGGGCAGUAGAGGUAGGCGGAAUUCCGGGUGAAGUGGGUGAAAUGCGUAGAGAUCCGGAAGAACACCGGUGGCGAAGGCGGCCUGUGGGAUCUUGCUGACGCUGAGGCGGCGACAGCGUGGGGAGCAAACAGGAUUAGAAACCCGUAGG
rnacentral:rRNA from 1 species